AAGGGAGAGUAAUGCAUGGUUAGCUACCCCCGGGACUGGGAUAGCGGCGGGAAACUGCCGGUAAUACCAGAUGACAUCUUCGGAUCAAAGGUGUGAAUCCGCCCGAGGAGGCGACCAUGUCCUAUCAGCUUGUUGGCGGGGUAACGGCCCACCAAGGCAAAGACGGGUAUGGGGCGUGAGAGCGUGCCCCACUCACUGGGACUGAGACACUGCCCAGACACCUACGGGUGGCUGCAGUCGAGAAUCUUCGGCAAUGGGCGCAAGCCUGACCGAGCGACGCUGCGUGCGGGAUGAAGGCCUUCGGGUUGUAAACCGCUGUCGUAGGGGAGGAAGCAACCGUGAAGAACGGAAGUUGACCGAUCCUAGGAGGAAGGGCCGGCUAAUCUCGUGCCAGCAGCCGCGGUAAUACGAGAGGCCCAAACGUUAUUCGGAUUUACUGGGCUUAAAGAGUUCGUAGGCGGCGCAGAAAGUAGGGUGUGAAAGCCCUCGGCUCAACCGAGGAAUUGCGCCCUAAACUACUGUGCUUGAGGAAGCUAGAGGUGAGCAGAACUGAUGGUGGAGCGGUGAAAUGCGUUGA
rnacentral:rRNA from 1 species